GGGACAUGGUUCCAUCCCUGGUCCAGGAACUAAGAGUCCACCUGCCACAGAGCAAGUAAGCCCACGUGCUGCACCACGGAGCGCGUGUGCUGUAGAGCCUGUGCGCCGCGGGAGAAGGCCCUGCACGCAGCCAGAGGAAGCUCGCAUGCUGCAGUGAAGACCCGUCGCCGCCAAGAGGGGCUGAAGUGGGGCGGGAGCACAAUGUCGUGUGAGCUUCAGCUGCAGCACAGAGACUCAGGCAGCACACGAGGGAAGGCUUUUAAGACAAAUAAAUGGAGAGCCAUACAUGUCCAUUCACAGAAAGACUCAACAUAGUGAAGAUCUCAGUUCUCCUUAAGUUGAUCUACAAAUUAAUUAGAAUUCCAGUGAAAAUCCCAGCAAGUCUUUUUGUAGAUAGAGACGAGCUGCUUCUAAAACUUACACGUGGAGACGCAAUGAACAAGAAUAAGUUACACAGUUUUGAAAAAGAAGAAUAAAGUGUGAGAAUCACGUUUCCCAACUUAAAAUUCAGGGUGGCUUUCCUUUAGAAUUGACUGCCUUGAUCGCCCUGCAGUCAGACUUCCCAUGAGAAGCAAACUCCAUCGAAGCAACGAUGUGUGUCCUGAUGAUAGUGGUGGUGUCUGGAGGGAUGGUUGUUUGGAAAGCAGUCUGGCAAAGCGGAAAUGAUAUGUGACCUUUGACCUAGAACUUUCUCUCCCGGAAAUCAGGCCACCCCACAGAAGGAGGACACGGGGAGACUGUUUAGCUUUGCCUGUGGUGGCAGAAACACGGGCUCCUGGGGAGACUGUGCUGGACUCCCACUAGCACAGCCCCAGCCCUGUGUGAGGCUGACCCCAAGCUCCAGGUCCCGGGAGCACAGCAGAGAGGGCUCCAGCCGGGGAGAGGAGUGAAGAAGGAGGAGGGGGCAGAGCCAUGUGGAGCGAAGAGCCAGGUGUGGACCAGCGACAGCCGUGUGUGCACAGGCCGAGCACGGCAGCUCGUGGGAUGCCACGCAGAUGCAGGGGGUGUGUCAGCAGAGUAUUGGACGAUGGAGAAGCGGGAGACCCUGCUGGCCCUGGACUGAGCAGAAAUAACAGCCAAAUAUGAGGAAGUGAGGCCUGGCAGAGGUCAGAGCCCAGGACAGGCAGGGCCAGUCAUGGGCCCGGUGGAACCCAGGAAGGAUGCUGAC
ensembl:lncRNA